AGGUAGGAAAGUAGGACUCUGAGCUACCAUAUCUGCCUGUGUGCUGCCAUGCUUCCCAUCCUGAGAAAAAUGGACUGAAUCUCUGAAAUGACCCCAAGAUUUCAAAGAUGACAGAGUCAUGGGACACCUGCCGAGGAGAUCGGCUGACAGGUGGAGAACCAGCAAGAGGGAUAGAAGUCUGCUGCAGUCAGCAAGCUGAAAGGAUUUGGUGUUCUGAAGAGCACUUUGACAUCAGACAUGAAGAUUCAGGGUUUGAGGUUGGACCUGCUGGUCGUCCAUCUUGCUUUGGCCCAGUAGUUCCUCACUGUGUUCCAUCUCCUCCCUUUUGGAAUGGAAAUGCAUAUUCUGUGCCAUAUUAGGUUGGAAGUUUGGGGUCUGCUUUUUUAUUUUAAUUUUACAGGGGGUUACAGUGAAGAGGUUGCCAUGAGUCUCAAAAGAGACCUUGAACUCUGGGCUUUGAAAUGGGUUGAGACUGAGAGACUGUGGAGACUUUUGAAACUGGACUGAAUGCAUAUUUGCAUUAUGUCAUGGCUACAAGCCUCUGGGAGCCACAGAGUACAAUGUGGUGGUUUGAGUAAGAAUAUUCACCAUAAACUGAAAUAUUUGAGUGCUUGAUCAUUAGGGCAUGGCCCUACCUAAGAGGGAUUAGGAGUGUAUCCUUUUUGGAGUAGGUGUGGCCUUAAUAGAGGAAGUGUGUCACUGGGGAAGGGCUUUGAGAUUUCAAAACUCCCAUUCCAAGACCAGAGACUCUUGCUUCUUGCUGCCUUUGACUCUGGAUAUAGAACCAUCAUCUACCAUGUCUGGCUGCAUACCACCAUGUUCCACUCCAAGAGGAUAAUGAAUUAAACCACUGGAACCAUGAACAAGCCUCAAUAAAAUGCUUUGUUUAGCAAGA